AGAGUUUGAUCAUGGCUCAGAACGUACGCUGGCGGCACGCCUAACACAUGCAAGUCGAACGAAGUAGCAAUACUUAGUGGCAGACGGGUGAGUAACAUGUAGGUAUCUUCCCUUUGGCCUGGAAUAACACGAGGAAACUUGUGCUAAUACUGGAUAAGUCUUUACGGAGAAAGCUUUAUGCACCAUUGGAUGAGCCUGCACUUGAUUAGUUUGUUGGUGGGGUAAUGGCCUACCAAGACUUUGAUCAAUAGCUGAUUUGAGAGGAUGAUCAGCCACAUUGGGACUGAGACACGGCCCAAACUCCUACGGGAGGCAGCAGUGGGGAAUCUUGCACAAUGGAGGAAACUCUGAUGCAGCGAUGCCGCGUGAGUGAAGAAGGCCCUUGGGUUGUAAAGCUCUUUCGUCGGGGAAGAAAAUGACUGUACCCGAAUAAGAAGGUCCGGCUAACUUCGUGCCAGCAGCCGCGGUAAUACGAAGGGACCUAGCGUAGUUCGGAAUUACUGGGCUUAAAGAGUUCGUAGGUGGUUGAAAAAGUUGGUGGUGAAAUCCCAGAGCUUAACUCUGGAACUGCCAUCAAAACUUUUCAGCUAGAGUUUGAUAGAGGAAAGCAGAAUUUCUAGUGUAGAGGUGAAAUUCGUAGAUAUUAGAAAGAAUACCAAUUGCGAAGGCAGCUUUCUGGAUCAUUACUGACACUGAGGAACGAAAGCAUGGGUAGCGAAGAGGAUUAGAUACCCUCGUAGUCCAUGCCGUAAACGAUGUGUGUUAGACGUUGGAAAUUUAUUUUCAGUGUCGCAGCGAAAGCGAUAAACACACCGCCUGGGGAGUACGACCGCAAGGUUAAAACUCAAAUGAAUUGACGGGGACCCGCACAAGUAGUGGAGCAUGUGGUUUAAUUCGAAGAUACGCGCAGAACCUUACCAACACUUGACAUGUUCGUCGCGACUUUAAGAGAUUAAAGUUUUCGGUUCGGCCGGACGAAACACAGGUGCUGCAUGGCUGUCGUCAGCUCGUGUCGUGAGAUGUUGGGUUAAGUCCCGCAACGAGCGCAACCCUCACUUUUAGUUGCCAUCAUUAAGUUGGGCACUCUGAAAGAACUGCCAGUGAUAAGCUGGAGGAAGGUGGGGAUGACGUCAAGUCCUCAUGGCCCUUACGUGUUGGGCUACACACGUGCUACAAUGGUAUUUACAACAGGAAGCAAGACGGCGACGUUAAGCAAAUCCUCAAAAAAUACCUCAGUUCGGAUUGCACUCUGCAACUCGAGUGCAUGAAGCUGGAAUUACUAGUAAUCGUGGAUCAGCGUGCCACGGUGAAUGCGUUCCCGGGUCUUGUACACACCGCCCGUCACACCAUGGGAGUUGGUUCUACCUUAAGGCAAGGUUUUAAACCCUUGACUACGGUAUAGUCAGCGACUGGGGUGAAGUCAUAACAAGGUAACCGUA
rnacentral:rRNA from 1 species